GGGUUAAGUUGAUACAUGCAUUUGGGGACCUUUUUUGGGAGCUUUGCUGUACCUGUACCGUCUGAGCUGGUAUGGCUUUCAAUGGUACACACUCAUGUUUAUGAGGUAGGCCAUAGUGCUGAUGGUCUUGCCUAAGGACCCCCACGGGUAGAUGUACUUUGCUUCUUACAGAUGUGUCUCAUGCAGGAUUGAAACCCCAACCACCCGGAUGCUCUACCCGCUGAGCUACCCCAGCCGCCCAAUACAUACUGAGGUAGCUACUCCAAUGUAUAUUACAUAUCAUUAGGCUUUGAAACCACGCAGAGUCAAUCGAACCCAACGUUCUGACCCAAUUACUGGGUUACUCUCAGAAAAAUAACCCAUAAUUAUUAACCCAUUCAAAUGACCCUCAAAUUGGGUUACAAUAGAACCCAUAUGACCCAAGAAAUGGGGAUGGAUCUGAAAAAUAAUCCAGAAAUUUAACUCAACACAUAUAACCCAGGAAUUGGGUUAAAGAAAUAACCCAAGAGUUUUUAGAGUGUGCUAAGAAGAGGGGUCAUGUAGUAUGUUACACUUGACAAGAAAAGUCAUAAUUUAUUGCAUGUGAGGUUAAAAUAUUCCUGCACAAGUUAAGAAAAGUCAUGUGUUAUUCAGAUCAUAUAUUAAAAAAAAUGUUAAACCGCACAUGAUUUGAAAAGUCAUGUUUUUUUUAUUCAUAGAUCUGUAACUUUUCUGUUUUUUAGGUUGAUUUGUCUGUGUUUAAGCAGUGUAACAGAUUGAAGCUUUUAUCUGAAACUGAUUACUUUUUUAAAAUUAUUUUUUGCUUGAUUUCCUGUCUCUGAAUGUACUUUUCUAUCCUUGUUAUGUGCCUCUGAUGCGUGCUAAUCUGAUGAAGAUAAGGGAGAUUAAUCUCAUUAUGAGGGCAGCGGUUCUUCGCUCUGAAAGAAGUCAAUGUUGAAGUCUUGUUAUAAAUACAGGUCCUGUCACUUGCGAUAAAAUUUAUAGUUAAUAUCCCUAUACUGCCUCUGAGGGAGCUCCUAUCAAGUAUUACUGCUUUUUGUACAACCAUCACACUUUUAUUGCUGUUUAUGGCCACUAGAGGCCAGUAAUGCAUCAACAAUUAAACAGAAGCUUCAAGUUGCUUUUCUUCCACCUAAAUAGUUGAAAUUGCAGUAUUUUUGCACUAAUAUAAGUUUUUAUUGUGGGUUUGACUUUUUUAGAGAUUGACAGCAUGCACUGAAAUCCCUCUCUGCUUUGCUAACAGCUUUUCUUAGCCAGAAAAUGAGAAGAAAACUGAAGAGAUGAGGUCAUUUUUCAUUGCUGUUCUGCUCUGUUAUACUCUAUCACCAUGUCUAGAUUAACAGCUGGCUUUGAGAUUGGUGACACUUGAAGAAUACGGAGGUGGAGGAGCGAGCUGAAGGUGAAAAAACCACCGGCAACAAUGAGUGGAGCAACGGCACAAACAGCUGGAAUAACAACAACGGCAGGAACACUAACAGCAGGAGGUUUGACGUUUGGGGGGGUGAGGAGUCUAUGUUUGAACCGGUGCCUUUGAAACAUAAAUAACUGCAAUUUCUUUGUAUAAUCAAGCCUCUAUGCAUCUGCUGCAGCUGUAGCGCUUGAAGAUUAAACAUGAAUUAUGUUUGUCUGUUUCCCACAUUCGCUGAAUCGAAUUUCAAAGCACCUCCAUCAUCUGAUGUGUGUUUUGACGCUUGUGUCUGCAGGUAGGCAAAGAGAGACACGGGGGGAUAAUGUGGUGCAGAGAAGCAGGACGGAUAAAAGCUGCAGAUAAAGUACAUGCUAACAUUUGCUUGCACUUGCCCCAAGUAGCAGAUGGCUGAAAUUUGCCUUGUAGGACAAAACUGUAAAUGCCACUGAGGUCAGACAGCCACACUAAGUUCAUAAAAGUCAAGUUAGCAUAUUCACUGGAGGCCGUCUGUGUUUUUCUCAUGCUUAUUUCCAACCACUUUAAAUACUGAGCAUAUAUGAUGAGUCAAUAAUUAAAUAGCUCUACAUCUGGACUGAGUUAAUUAACAUUUGAUGCAUUUUUCUGCGUGGUAAAGAUUUGAAAUAAAACCUCCAGUUAGAUCUCUUUCAGUGCGCCAAGAAACAACUAAACUGAGUAAAACUUUCACUUUAAAGAACUUCAGGCUUUUACUUUGACAACAUGAAAAGAGCUUUUCGAAUGAAACAUAUGGUUUUAAAUCCUGCAAUACGAUUUUAUAAUCAAAGGUCCCUUGAUAUCUGUUUUGACUGUGUGCUUAUCCACCCUAAUUAGUGUUUAUGAAGUUAUAUGAUUUAAUUACACGUGAAGAGAAACACAUGUUACCAUAUAGUCAUUAAAGACAAAAAUAUAUGUUCUCUUCCCAUCAUCAGAUUGUAGCUCACAUCCUUUAAGAAGACGCCAGUGUUUCAGUUUAACGACUGACCCUAAGACUUUUAUUUGUUGUCAUGGUAACAAGCCCACUAGUCAAAGACGUUAUUGUUACAAAAGAUAGUCAGCUAUAAAAUAAAUAAAAUAAAAUAAAAACAGUUUGUCUUUGUAAAUAUUUCCUUAUUCACAUUGUGUUCAUGAAUCAUGAAUAACACUGUAAAGAAGAGUUGCUGAAUGCAAAAGUUAGCUGAGCUAUGUUGGUCACCGGCUGUCAGUAACCUUUAUUUAUAUAGCACGAGGCCAUAAAUGUCAACAGUUUGUCAACAUUUGUAUGACUCAUGACCUGGAACACAACAGUAAGAUGUGAUAACUAUAUUUGAACCUCCCAUUAUGAGUGUAAUGUCAAAAGUCCAUCAAUCAAACUUGUUAAAGAGUUUUGAUCAACCAGAAUCAAGUAUUUAACACAGACAGAUAUGAGGAAAUAUAGUCUAAGUGUCCAAUUUCAUGUUAUAUGUUUUGUAUGCAUUAAUCUUUUUCUUUUACUGUAACUGUAAAAAUGAGUUUUGAAUAGUAAAUACUUUGUUUAAACACCUCAUUGUGGUUUUUUUUGGCAUGCAAUAGGCAGAAAUGCGCAAAAAAACAAUAAGAUGCUUAAAAACAGAACAAAUAAAUAAUGAUAAAAAACAAAUACAAUAGAGCCUUAUGAAAUAAUAGCACCAGAUUCUUUUAACUCAACAAUAUUUUUAUGGAUUAAUACAGUACAUCUCUUGAAAGGGCACUAGAUACAAAGGAAACACAACACAAAACCUCCCUCAGAACCCUGUCUACUGCUGGAUAUUCCUACUACUUUGCUUUAAUAACAAAUUCUGGAGCUAAAAAAUAAAAUGAAAAUAAAAAAACAAGUGCUGGAAUUUGGGUUUUGUAGAUCUUAAAAUAUAUAGGAUGAAAUAAAAAGUAAAAAGAAUGAGUUAAAUGAACUACUGUAGGUGAAGAGAAAUGCAUAUGUGGACAAAAUAAGAAUUUGAAUCACAGAGAUAUAUUUCAAAAAGAAUAAAACUAGAAGAAAUUCUAAUUGAUGCUUUUUUUAUGAUGAACAGAAGCAAACAAGCUUAAGUAUUACUUUUUGAUCCCUGACUCCGGUGGUGAAGGGUAGGUGUCAGCUGAGCAACUGAAAAUCGCCUGUUGUAAAAUUUUAUGGGUUAAAUACUCACAAUGACUGAUACACAUCAUUGUACUACUUGUAUGCAAAGGAAAAGAACUUUGUCCACAGGGGGGCGCCAAUUUUGACACAAACAGAAAGUUCCUUACUUCAGCUUUAACUCAAAUUACAAACAGUUGUUUCUAAACGGCUGAAACGUCAGCAAUAUGUUCCCAUUAUGCAGAAAACAUCCGUUACCAUGCUUCUGCUUCACAUACAGAGAAUGGAUGAUUGAGUCUUUCUAUACACUCAUGGUUUUAAAAGCAUAAUCCCUGAAUGAAAAAAAAGAAGAAACAGAAGAGAGCUCUUGUGAUUUAUGAGCUCCGGAUCAUUAUUUCUAAAUAGCUCUGUACCUUUAAUGAGAACAGAACAAAUUCCAUCCGCAUGACAAGCAAACAGAUAGAAAUCCAGUAAGUGGUCCUUGAGAGUGGGAUUUGAAAGGACUUGUUUGUGUGAUAUCAUUGACUAUGAUUAUAGGAUGUUUAACAUUUAUUAACCUUCUGCACAAUAGUAAAAAAAACAACACCGAGGAUAAUAUAAUAUCAUAUAAUCAAGUAAUAAGAAGGUCAUUUGGCUUCAUUAAAAGGUUGACAACAAUUUGAGUUGCAGUAUUAAAGCUGUGAGCGGUAUGCAGAGACUCUGAACCGUUUAAACCAGAUAAUCAACCUUUAUGGCGCUACAAAACGUACCAAUCGUCUAGACGGUAUUUACAUUUAAAGUGAGAUUAAUUAUUUGUGUUUGCAGGGCAUCACGUUUCAAAUGGCUAAUUGAGAAGAACAUUAGCCCAGGAAUAAAACAGCAGGUAUACGACGACUAAAGAGAAGUGGAAA